UGGGGAAUAUUGCGCAAUGGGCGAAAGCCUGACGCAGCCAUGCCGCGUGUGUGAAGAAGGCCUUCGGGUUGUAAAGCACUUUCACUGGGGAGGAAAGGGUGUUGGUUAAUAGCCAGCACUUUUGACGUUACCUUGAGAAGAAGCACCGGCUAACUCCGUGCCAGCAGCCGCGGUAAUACGGAGGGUGCGAGCGUUAAUCGGAAUUACUGGGCGUAAAGCGCGCGUAGGCGGUUUGUUAAGUCGGAUGUGAAAUCCCCGGGCUCAACCUGGGAAUGGCAUCCGAUACUGGCCGACUGGAGUGCGAGAGAGGGAGGUAGAAUUCCACGUGUAGCGGUGAAAUGCGUAGAUAUGUGGAGGAAUACCGGUGGCGAAGGCGGCCUCCUGGCUCGACACUGACGCUGAGGUGCGAAAGCGUGGGGAGCAAACAGGAUUAGAUACCCGCGUAGUCC
rnacentral:rRNA from 1 species